rnacentral:tRNA from 1 species
AGGGAUAUAGUUCAGCAGCUUAAGCAUGUGCCUGACAAGCACGGGGUUGUGAGUUCAAUUCCCAAUACCCCUC